rnacentral:rRNA from 1 species
UACGAAGGGGGCUAGCGUUGUUCGGAUUUACUGGGCGUAAAGCGCACGUAGGCGGAUUGUUAAGUCGGGGGUGAAAUCCUGGAGCUCAACUCCAGAAUUGCCUUCGAUACUGGCUUUCUAGAGGCUGGAAGUAGGUUAGUGGAAUUCCCAGUGUAGAGGUGAAAUUCGUAGAUAUUGGGAAGAACACCAGUGGCGAAGGCGGCUAACUGGUCCAGAUCUGACGCUGAGGUGCGAAAGCGUGGGGGAGCAAACAGG